GCGGAGGGAUCAUUACCGAGUUUACAACUCCCAAACCCCUGUGAACAUACCACUUGUUGCCUCGGCGGAUCAGCCCGCUCCCGGUAAAACGGGACGGCCCGCCAGAGGACCCCUAAACUCUGUUUCUAUAUGUAACUUCUGAGUAAAACCAUAAAUAAAUCAAAACUUUCAACAACGGAUCUCUUGGUUCUGGCAUCGAUGAAGAACGCAGCAAAAUGCGAUAAGUAAUGUGAAUUGCAGAAUUCAGUGAAUCAUCGAAUCUUUGAACGCACAUUGCGCCCGCCAGUAUUCUGGCGGGCAUGCCUGUUCGAGCGUCAUUUCAACCCUCAAGCCCUCGGGUUUGGUGUUGGGGAUCGGCGAGCCCUUGCGGCAAGCCGGCCCCGAAAUCUAGUGGCGGUCUCGCUGCAGCCUCCAUUGCGUAGUAGUAAAACCCUCGCAACUGGAACGCGGCGCGGCCAAGCCGUUAAACCCCCAACUUCUGAAUGU
rnacentral:rRNA from 1 species